UCAAGUAAUUAAGUGCAUGUGGUGGAUGCCUUGGCAGUCAGAGGCGAUGAAAGACGUGAUAGCCUGCGAAAAGCUCCGGGGAGGCGGCAAAUAUCCUUUGAUCCGGAGAUGUCUGAAUGGGGGAACCCACCUACUUUAAGGUAGGUAUUGCAACAUGAAUACAUAGUGUUGCAAGGCGAACGAGGGGAAGUGAAACAUCUCAGUACCCUUAGGAAAAGAAAUCAAUUGAGAUUCCCUCAGUAGCGGCGAGCGAACGGGGAUCAGCCCAUUAAGUUAUGUGUGUUUUAGUGGAACGCUCUGGGAAGUGCGAACGUAGAGGGUGAUAUUCCCGUACACGAAAGGGCACACAUAAUGAUGACGAGUAGGGCGAGGCACGUGAAACCUUGUCUGAAUAUGGGGGGACCAUCCUCCAAGGCUAAAUACUCCUGACUGACCGAUAGUGAACCAGUACCGUGAGGGAAAGGCGAAAAGAACCCCUGUGAGGGGAGUGAAAUAGAUCCUGAAACCGCAUGCAUACAAGCAGUGGGAGCACCUUCGUGGUGUGACUGCGUACCUUUUGUAUAAUGGGUCAGCGACUUAUAUUCAGUAGCGAGGUUAACCGUAUAGGGGAGCCGUAGAGAAAUCGAGUCUUAAUAGGGCGUUUAGUUGCUGGGUAUAGACCCGAAACCAGGCGAUCUAUCCAUGAGCAGGUUGAAGGUUGGGUAACACUAACUGGAGGACCGAACCCACUGUCGUUGAAAAGCCAGGGGAUGACUUGUGGAUAGGGGUGAAAGGCUAAUCAAGCCUGGUGAUAGCUGGUUCUCCCCGAAAGCUAUUUAGGUAGCGCCUCGGACGAAUACCAUAGGGGGUAGAGCACUGUUUCGGCUAGGGGGUCAUCCCGACUUACCAAACCGAUGCAAACUCCGAAUACCUAUGAGUACUAUCCGGGAGACAGACUGCGGGUGCUAACGUCCGUAGUCAAGAGGAAAACAAUCCAGACCGCCAGCUAAGGCCCCAAAAUCAUAGUUAAGUGGGAAACGAUGUGGGAAGGCAUAGACAGCUAGGAGGUUGGCUUAGAAGCAGCCACCCUUUAAAGAAAGCGUAAUAGCUCACUAGUCGAGUCGGCCUGCGCGGAAGAUGUAACGGGGCUAAAACUAUGUGCCGAAGCUGCGGAUGUAUACUUUGUAUACGUGGUAGGGGAGCGUUCUGUAAGCCGAUGAAGGUGUGUUGAGAAGCAUGCUGGAGGUAUCAGAAGUGCGAAUGCUGACGUGAGUAACGACAAAACGGGUGAAAAACCCGUUCGCCGAAAGACCAAGGGUUCCAGUCCAACGUUAAUCGGGGCUGGGUGAGUCGACCCCUAAGGCGAGGCCGAAAGGCGUAGUCGAUGGGAAAAUGGUUAAUAUUCCAUUACUUCUGUGUAAUGCGAUGAGAGGACGGAGAAGGCUAAAUCAGCCUGGCGUUGGUUGUCCAGGUGAAAGGAUGUAGGCAUGUAUCUUAGGCAAAUCCGGGGUGCUCUAUGCUGAGAUCUGAUAGCAAGCUGUACUUGUACAGCGAAGUGGUUGAUGCCAUGCUUCCAGGAAAAGUCUCUAAGCUUCAGUUACACAGGAAUCGUACCCGAAACCGACACAGGUGGUCAGGUCGAGUAGACCAAGGCGCUUGAGAGAACUCUGCUGAAGGAACUAGGCAAAAUGGUACCGUAACUUCGGGAGAAGGUACGCUGUUGUUGGUGAUGGAACUCGCUUCCUGAGCUGACGACAGCCGCAGAAACCAGGCCGCUGCAACUGUUUAUUAAAAACAUAGCACUCUGCAAACACGAAAGUGGACGUAUAGGGUGUGAUGCCUGCCCGGUGCUGGAAGGUUAAUUGAUGGGGUUAGCGUAAGCGAAGCUCUUGAUCGAAGCCCCAGUAAACGGCGGCCGUAACUAUAACGGUCCUAAGGUAGCGAAAUUCCUUGUCGGGUAAGUUCCGACCUGCACGAAUGGCAUAAUGAUGGCGGCGCUGUCUCCAGCAGAGGCUCAGUGAAAUCGAAAUCGCUGUGAAGAUGCAGUGUACCCGCGGCUAGACGGAAAGACCCCGUGAACCUUUACUGCAGCUUGACACUGAACUUUGACCUUACUUGUGUAGGAUAGGUGGGAGGCUUUGAAGCUGGAACGCUAGUUCCAGUGGAGCCGUCCUUGAAAUACCACCCUGGUAAUGUUGAGGUUCUAACUCUGUCCCGUGAUCCGGGACGAGGACCGUGUCUGGUGGGUAGUUUGACUGGGGCGGUCUCCUCCUAAAGAGUAACGGAGGAGUACGAAGGUGCGCUCAGCGUGGUCGGAAAUCACGCGUAGAGUAUAAAGGCAAAAGCGCGCUUAACUGCGAGACCCACAAGUCGAGCAGGUACGAAAGUAGGUCUUAGUGAUCCGGUGGUUCUGUAUGGAAGGGCCAUCGCUCAACGGAUAAAAGGUACUCUGGGGAUAACAGGCUGAUACCGCCCAAGAGUUCAUAUCGACGGCGGUGUUUGGCACCUCGAUGUCGGCUCAUCUCAUCCUGGGGCUGAAGCAGGUCCCAAGGGUAUGGCUGUUCGCCAUUUAAAGAGGUACGCGAGCUGGGUUUAGAACGUCGUGAGACAGUUCGGUCCCUAUCUACCGUGGGCGCUGGAAAUUUGAGAGGAUCUGCUCCUAGUACGAGAGGACCAGAGUGGACGAACCUCUGGUGUACCGGUUGUGACGCCAGUCGCAUCGCCGGGUAGCUAUGUUCGGAAGGGAUAACCGCUGAAAGCAUCUAAGCGGGAAGCCUACCUCAAGAUAAGAUUUCCCUAGGACUUUAUGUCCUCUAAAGAGCCGUUCGAGACUAGGACGUUGAUAGGUUGGAUGUGGAAGCAUAGUGAUAUGUGAAGCUGACCAAUACUAAUUGCUCGUGAGGCUUGACUAU
rnacentral:rRNA from 2 species